rnacentral:rRNA from 1 species
UUUAAAUAGCUGCAGUAUUUUAACUGUACAAAGGUAGCAUAAUAAUUAGUCUUUUAAUUGAGGUCUGGAAUGAAUGGUUUAACAAAAAAAUAACUUUAUUAAUUUAAUUAGUUUUGAAAUUAAUUUUUUAGUUAAAAAACUAAAAUAUUUAAAUGGGACGAUAAGACCCUAUAGAUCUUUAAUUUUUUAAUAGAUUAAUUUUAUUUAGUUUAAUUAAAUAAUUAAUUUUUAAAAAAUUUUAAUUGGGGUGAUUAUUAAACUUUUUUAACUUUAAUUUUUUUUUACAUUCAUUUAUGAUUUGUUGAUCUUGAAUUUUUGAUUAAAAGAAUAAGAUACCUUAGGGAUAACAGCACAUAUAAUUUGGAUAGUUCAUAUUGAUAAAUUUUAUUUGUGACCUCGAUGUUGAAUUAAUUUAAACUUUUAGAGCAGAAAUUAAAAUAGUUAGGUCUGUUCGACCUUUAAUAAAUUACA